rnacentral:pre_miRNA from 1 species
UUUUUAGUAUAAGUAUGCCCCAUGCAAUAUUUGGGACGUACUUACCCUGAAA